rnacentral:lncRNA from 1 species
CUUUGUCAUUACUCCGCAGAAGAAGUGGAAAUACUUCCCUGUGUGUGUGAACACCAAGCCAGAGCCUGAGGAUGACACCAAGGAGAAGCUCUGAGUUUUCCCUGAAAUAGCGGCUCUUCAACACCACUGAGAACCUGUAGCCCAGAAGGAGGGCCACUGAGGGUUCAUAGAACGGUGGUUUCCAGACCAUGUGUAGAGCUCCGGAAUUCUGAGCUCCAGGCUAGAGGAAGCCUGAGAAGUCCAGGGAGCUCCCAAAGAGCCAAGCUACUCCGCUGGAGUCUCUCUGCCAAGCAUAUGGCACCGACAAGCUCAAUCUAUGCAGCAUCAAGGGAUGGAAAUUACAGAACAGAAGGUCAGGAACAAAAUGAGAUCUUCCACCACUAGUAGGAAGGCUGCAAGUGAAAGGCCACCUGCUCCUCUGGCCCCACUGGCAUCUCUUGGUGUGCUAUAGCCACCCCACAGUCCAGCUAGUGCCAAGCCUGAAUGGCCACCCUCACAUCUUCAUCUUCCUGCCUGGGCCAUGGACUCCUUAGGGGAGGUUGUGUCUCAGCUCCCCCAGCUCAAGCCAUGACAAAAGAGAAUGUGCAUCAAGGAUUGUCCAGGGAUUGAUCGUCCUGGGGUCUGAAAUGCUUUUAGACAGAGGACCUGCGGGUGAACUCAGCCCUACUUCUUUAAGCCUGUGGAGGCUACAGCUGGUGUUGACUGAAUCCCACCCACUGGUAUCAUGUACUACCUGGGAAUAAAGCAGCAGUGCCCUGGC